rnacentral:rRNA from 1 species
GAGACACGCUGGCGGCGUGGAUUAGGCAUGCAAGUCGGACGUAGGGCUUUAUCGUAAGAUAGAGUUUGAGAGUGGCGAACGGGUGAGUAACACGUAGGAAUCUACCCGUUAAGACGGGACAACCAGGGAAACUUGGGCUAAUACCGGAUGAGAGUGCGAGAGAUUGACAUUUAAAAGGAUGGCGAAAGUUGUCGCUUAGGGAUGAGCCUGCGGUCUAUUAGUUAGUUGGUGAGGUAAGAGCUCACCAAGGCGAUGAUAGAUAGGCGGCCUUAACGGGUGGUCGCCCACACUGGGAUUGAGAUACGGCCCAGACUCCUACGGGAGGCAGCAGUCGAGAAUAGUCUACAAUGGCCGGAAGGCUGAUAGUGCGACGCCGCGUGAACGAGGGAGCCCUUCGGGGUGUAAAGUUCUUUUCUAUACGAGCAGUGCUAUAUAUAUGGAUAGGUAUAUAUAGAGGGAUAGUAGUAUAGGAAUAAGCAACGGCUAACUCCGUG